CUGAAGGUCUUAAAUUAAGAUGAAGGUGGGAAUAGAACUGCAGAUACAUAUUAUACUAAAAUCCACCAUGACAGAUGAAUAUGAUGCCAAGGAUUAGAUUUGAAAAAAGUUCUUCUCCUCUCUACAUUUGAUGAAAGCCAUUUUCAGCAAAGGUGGGAAUAGAACUGCAGACGCAUAUACCAAAAUCCACCAUGACAGACGAAUAUGCUACCAACUACAGUUUUAGAUUUAAAACUCCUUUCUACAUCUGAUGGAAACCAUUUCCAGACCAAGAGCAGAGAGACU